ensembl:misc_RNA Y_RNA Y RNA
GGCUGGUCCCAAGGUAGUGACUUAUCUCAAUUGAUUGUUCACAGUCACAGAUCCAACUCCUUGUUCUACUCUUUCCCCCCUUCUCACUACUGCACUUGACUUGUCUUUA